rnacentral:rRNA from 1 species
UCCAGACUCCUACGGGAGGCAGCAGUAGGGAAUAUUGCUCAAUGGGGGAAACCCUGAAGCAGCAACGCCGCGUGGAGGAUGAAGGUUUUCGGAUUGUAAACUCCUUUUGUUAGAGAAGAUAAUGACGGUAUCUAACGAAUAAGCACCGGCUAACUCCGUGCCAGCAGCCGCGGUAAUACGGAGGAUGCGAGCGUUAUCCGGAUUUAUUGGGUUUAAAGGGUGCGCAGGCGGAGGCACAAGCCAGCGGUAAAAUCGCGGGGCUCACCCCCGCUCCGCCGUUGAAACUGUGUCCCUUGAGUGCGCGAAGGGUAGGUGGAAUGCGUGGUGUAGCGGUGAAAUGCAUAGAUAUCACGCAGAACUCCGAUCGCGAAGGCAGCCUACCGGCGCGCAACUGACGCUCAUGCACGAAAGCGUGGGUAUCGAACAGGAUUAGAUACCCGAGUA